GGUUAAGUGAAUAAGGGCGCACGGUGGAUGCCUUGGCACUAGGAGCCGAUGAAGGACGGGACUAACACCGAUAUGCUUUGGGGAGCUGUAAGUAAGCUAUGAUCCAGAGAUUUCCGAAUGGGGGAACCCAAUAUCUUUUAUAGGAUAUUACUUUUCAGUGAAUACAUAGCUGAUUAGAGGUAGACGCAGAGAACUGAAACAUCUUAGUACCUGCAGGAAGAGAAAGAAAAUUCGAUUCCCUGAGUAGCGGCGAGCGAAACGGGAAGAGCCCAAACCAACAAGCUUGCUUGUUGGGGUUGUAGGACUCCAAUAUGGUAGUCUGUUAGUAUAGUUGAAGGAUUUGGAAAAUUCCGCUAAAGAGGGUGAAAGCCCCGUAGACGAAAUGCUGACAACACCUAGGAGGAUCCUGAGUACGGCGGAACACGAGAAAUUCCGUCGGAAUCCGCGGGGACCAUCCCGCAAGGCUAAAUACUCCCUAGUGACCGAUAGUGAACCAGUACCGUGAGGGAAAGGUGAAAAGCACCCCGGAAGGGGAGUGAAAUAGAUCCUGAAACCGUGUGCCUACAACAAGUCAAAGCUCGUUAAUGAGUGAUGGCGUGCCUUUUGUAGAAUGAACCGGCGAGUUACGAUUGCAUGCGAGGUUAAGUCGAAGAGACGGAGCCGCAGCGAAAGCGAGUCUGAAUAGGGCGAAUGAGUAUGUAGUCGUAGACCCGAAACCAUGUGAUCUACCCAUGUCCAGGUUGAAGGUGCGGUAAAACGCACUGGAGGACCGAACCCACGUACGUUGAAAAGUGCGGGGAUGAGGUGUGGGUAGCGGAGAAAUUCCAAACGAACUUGGAGAUAGCUGGUUCUCUCCGAAAUAGCUUUAGGGCUAGCCUCGGAAUUGAGAAUGAUGGAGGUAGAGCACUGUUUGGACUAGGGGCCCAUCUCGGGUUACCGAAUUCAGAUAAACUCCGAAUGCCAUUCAUUUAUAUCCGGGAGUCAGACUGCGAGUGAUAAGAUCCGUAGUCGAAAGGGAAACAGCCCAGACCACCAGCUAAGGUCCCAAAAUAUAUGUUAAGUGGAAAAGGAUGUGGGGUUGCACAGACAACUAGGAUGUUGGCUUAGAAGCAGCCACCAUUUAAAGAGUGCGUAAUAGCUCACUAGUCGAGUGACCCUGCGCCGAAAAUGUACCGGGGCUAAACAUAUUACCGAAGCUGUGGACUACACCAUUAGGUGUAGUGGUAGGAGAGCGUUCUAAGGGCGUUGAAGGUCGAUCGUGAGGACGGCUGGAGCGCUUAGAAGUGAGAAUGCCGGUAUGAGUAGCGAAAGACAGGUGAGAAUCCUGUCCACCGUAUGACUAAGGUUUCCUGGGGAAGGCUCGUCCGCCCAGGGUUAGUCGGGACCUAAGCCGAGGCCGAUAGGCGUAGGCGAUGGACAACAGGUUGAUAUUCCUGUACCAGUUGUUUUUGUUUGAGCAAUGGAGGGACGCAGUAGGCUAAGGAAUGCAUGCGAUUGGAAGUGCAUGUCCAAGCAAUGAGUCUUGAGUAGAGUUAAAUGCUUUACUCUCUAAGGACAAGUUGUGACGGGGAGCGAAAUAAUAGUAGCGAAGUUCCUGAUGUCACACUGCCAAGAAAAGCUUCUAGUGAGAAAACAACUGCCCGUACCGUAAACCGACACAGGUAGUCGAGGAGAGUAUCCUAAGGUGAGCGAGCGAACUCUCGUUAAGGAACUCGGCAAAAUGACCCCGUAACUUCGGGAGAAGGGGUGCUGACUUCGGUCAGCCGCAGUGAAUAGGCCCAAGCGACUGUUUAUCAAAAACACAGGUCUCUGCAAAAUCGUAAGAUGAAGUAUAGGGGCUGACGCCUGCCCGGUGCUGGAAGGUUAAGAGGAUGGGUUAGCUUCGGCGAAGCUCAGAAUUGAAGCCCCAGUAAACGGCGGCCGUAACUAUAACGGUCCUAAGGUAGCGAAAUUCCUUGUCGGGUAAGUUCCGACCCGCACGAAAGGCGUAACGAUUUGGGCACUGUCUCAACGAGAGACUCGGUGAAAUUUUAGUACCUGUGAAGAUGCAGGUUACCCGCGACAGGACGGAAAGACCCCAUGGAGCUUUA
rnacentral:rRNA from 1 species